GAUGAAGAACGCAGCGAAAUGCGAUAAGUAAUGUGAAUUGCAGAAUUCAGUGAAUCAUCGAAUCUUUGAACGCACAUUGCGCCCGCCAGUAUUCUGGCGGGCAUGCCUGUUCGAGCGUCAUUUCAACCAUCAAGCCCCCGGCUUGUGUUGGAGACCUGCGGCUGCCGCAGGCCCUGAAAACCAGUGGCGGGCUCGCUAGUCACUCCGAGCGUAGUAAUACAUCUCGCUCAGGGCGUGCUGCGGGUUCCGGCCGUUAAAAAGCCUUAUUUACCCAAGGUUGACCUCGGAUCAGGUAGGAAGACCCGCUGAACUUAAGCAUAUCAAUAAGCGGAGGA
rnacentral:misc_RNA from 1 species